GAGGGUGUAGCUCAGCAGUGGUAGAGGGCAUGCUUAGCAGGCACAAGGUCCUGGGUUCAAUCCCCAGUACCUCCA
rnacentral:tRNA from 1 species